rnacentral:lncRNA from 1 species
GAGCAUACACCAUCCAGCUUGAGGGGAGACUAUUGGAUUUUUAUUGUUUUGUAAGAUUACCGUCCUGUGACAGUAAUCGGGUUUGGUUUUUAGUUUUCUGUUAGUUUCCCCAAGAGUUCUAUAAAUAGAGCUCUUUCUCCCUUUUCUUAGUAAGUUACAAACAUAUAGACACUUUUCAGAUGAUAUUACAUAGAUAAAUAAAACAAGAGCAUUUUUUCUUUCUUACCUGCGCGAACCCUCUGUACCGACUGCGUUUCUUUUCUCUCUCAGACAGUUGUUCCUCCACCGCUCUGCAGACUACUGUUCCACUCAUUUUUCUAGUGCUUAGAAGUGUCUGGAAACCCUUGCUUCUUAAUUAUCGUGUCGAAGACAACAACUCUGCCACCCACCUUUUCCAGAGACACUUUAUCUCACUCGCGAGCCUCUAAAUCAAUUGGGCCUUUCGUAUGAAAUAUGGGUUGGCCCAUGUUUUAAUACUCUCCUCACUUCGUCUCUUCCUCAGUCCAAGUUCUGUUCGGGAGGUACCGACCAAAGGUUCUCCAAUGCUAAAGUCAAUAAUUGUUCGUUCGUAAUAUGAGAGUUGUAUUAAAUACGCAAUUAAUGAACCUCCCCAC